UACAGAGGUCUCAAGCGUUGUUCGGAUUCAUUGGGCGUAAAGGGUGCGUAGGCGGCGCGGUAAGUCGGGUGUGAAAUUUCGAGGCUUAACUUCGAAACUGCAUUCGAUACUGCCGUGCUAGAGGACUGGAGAGGAGACUGGAAUUUACGGUGUAGCGGUGAAAUGCGUAGAUAUCAGGAGGAACACCGGUGGCGAAGGCGGGGUCUCUGGACAGUUCCUGACGCUGAGGCACGAAGGUCAGGGGAGCAAACGGG
rnacentral:rRNA from 1 species